rnacentral:rRNA from 1 species
AGUGAACGCUGGCGGUAGGCCUAACACAUGCAAGUCGAACGGCAGCACAGUAAGAGCUUGCUCUUACGGGUGGCGAGUGGCGGACGGGUGAGGAAUACAUCGGAAUCUACUUUUUCGUGGGGGAUAACGUAGGGAAACUUACGCUAAUACCGCAUACGACCUACGGGUGAAAGCAGGGGAUCUUCGGACCUUGCGCGAUUGAAUGAGCCGAUGUCGGAUUAGCUAGUUGGCGGGGUAAAGGCCCACCAAGGCGACGAUCCGUAGCUGGUCUGAGAGGAUGAUCAGCCACACGGGAACUGGGAACCGGCCCAGAUCCUUAGGGAGGGCAGCGGGGGGAAAUUUGGAAAAAGGGGGGCAGCCUUAUCCCACCCAUACGGGUGGGGGAAAAAAGCCUUCGGGUUGGUAAACCCCUUUUGUUGGAAAGAAAAAGCAGCAGGUUAAUACCCGGCGGUUUGGCCGGAACCAAAAGAUAAGGCACCGCUAAACUCGUU